AUAAGGUUCAUCGCAAAUCCUAGCACGAAAAGAUCCAGCCUAACAUAACGGCAAAAUUAAAUAAAUAAAAGUGGAACGACAUCACCAAUAAUUGACGAAACGUGAUCAACAUCCAAAUUCCUUUUACAAAGAAAUCUGAAAUUAUUCCUUCAGCAGCCUUCUGUUCAUCUCCAAUUCUAUGCGUGAAUAUAUAUAUAAUCUUCCAAAUCAGCCGCCCACUUUUGUAUUUCCAUUCCAGCUGCUGACCUCUCAAGUUGUUUUGUAUAUGAUAUACACAAUUCAGCACUUCAAUUUCUUUAAUUCCAGCCACCUUUUUGUGCAUAUAAUAUUCCAAUUCCCAUCUCCUUGCUAUGGCUUUCUGUGGGUGUGUCAAUAUAUAAUUCAACUUUUGCAACCCACUUAAUUCAC
rnacentral:lncRNA from 1 species